rnacentral:lncRNA from 1 species
GCAGCCAUCGCUAGCUUAGCUCCUCCCGUCCCUAGCUCAUCAGCUGAAACAAAAUUAAACUUCACAAUCAAUCACAAGAUGAGUUGUUCAUCAGAGAAACGGUUUCAGCAGGCAGUUCCACUUCUUCUAUUCUAUGCCACCACCCUAGUAGAUACUCCAACAAGAGGCUAACAAAUCUAGGCAACCCAAGAAAAAGGUGCUUUUUGUUUGUCUGUUUAAUUUGUUUUCCUCUCCUCUCCUUCUCUGGUUAAGUGCAGUGCAGUGCUGUUUACUCUCUAGCUAGUAGGGUGUCCAUACUUAAGUCAUGCAUGUAGCAGCAGAAUCAUCAUCCUCUUUGUAUGCUUCCAAAUCAACGGCGGUAUGGCCACUUCCUAUUGUGUCUGCCUAUUGUCAGAAUCAGAACCAGAACAUAUCUCUAGCAUUCUUUUUAACAUAAUAUAUGCUUUGGAUUUAGACGGCCUUAUAUAAGAUAAUAAUAUAAGAGCUGAUGCCGAAAAGGAGAAUCCGCAAGUGCCACCAAUCAGACCUCGGAAAAAGGAAAACCAACUCUUUGCUCUUUUCUAUAACUGGAAAAGCACUGUGGUGGUGUGGCCAACUUGUUGGACAUAUAUAGGAGACAAAAAGGAACAAGAUGGACUUUUCUGUUCUUAUUCUUUUUUGCUUGUCCGUUUUGUUUUUGGUGGUAGGCUUAUGCUUUCGUUGUCAUUGAACCAUAUCGUCGCUUCCCACCAGCUCAAGAAUAUGGUGAAUGGUACAGAAAAGACCAGUUAUUUUUAAUAAAACAGAGAAGAUGAACAAACGACCUAAGGGAGGGAUGGUUGUCAUUUUAAUAGAACAGAGAAGAUGAACAAACGAUCUAAGGGAGGGACGGUACCUUUAUGACCGCUUUUGUAAGAUUCUUUUCUUGUGAUGCUUCUCUUUGAUAUCUGACCCCAGUCACCAUUUGGUCUUUAUAAUGACGAGGAACAGCCUUCUGGAAUUGGAACAGAAUGAUCACUUUGUGAACGUCUUUUGAGCCAGAAUCAUCCUCUGGACCUCAAUCAGAUGAAGAGAACCACUGCCAGC